rnacentral:rRNA from 1 species
UCGCUAGUAAUCGUAGAUCAGCAUGCUACGGUGAAUACGUUCCCGGGUCUUGUACACACCGCCCGUCACACCACGAGAGUUUGUAACACCCGAAGCCGGUGGAGUAACCAUUUAUGGAGCUAGCCGUCGAAGGUGGGACAAAUGAUUGGGGUGAAGUCGUAACAAGGUAGCCGUAUCGGAAGGUGCGGCUGGAUCACCUCCUUU